UGAAGAAAAAUAAAUGAUGUAGCUAAAAAUAAAUAAGGGAUUUAGUCAAGUUUUAUAUGACAUCUUACUUUUUGUGCACAUUCUUAAAACAACAAACAUAGAUAGUAAUAUCACAAAUGAUCUGCCAAGCUUAUCCAAAAAAAAAAUUAAUCUGCCAAUUUCUGAGAAAUAAAGUGGGUUUGAAGUUCCAAAAAAAAGGUUCAAAAGUGGGUUUGACAUCACCAACCCAAACAUGUUGAAUAUUACUAAUUCAAGAGCAUCAAAUUGACACUUGCUCCCAGUUCACAUAGAGCCAUGCGCCUUUGCCCAUCAUCAAAUUCUUCCCUCCUUUCCAUUCCCGCGCGCGCAUUAUUCUCUGUUCCCUCCUUUCUUCCCCCACACUCUCCUUUUGAUCCUUGAAACCCUAAUUAAGAACAUCGUUGCACCAUUCCUUGCAUCCUCGUUCAGAAAACCCAUGUAUCCCUUGUUUGUUCAUUCAAGGAGAAGGUUGGUUAUGAAACUUCUUUGUCAAGCUUAUAAAGUAACUUGGAAUCAAAGGGGCAUUAAGUCCUGGCCUCAUCACCAUGGGAUUAUUGCGAAUUGGAAUUUGGGAUGGUGAGCUUAUAUGAAAGAUUCUUCAAGAGUGAAUACAACAAGUGAGGUUUUUGCCCUCUUCCUACUUUCUGUUAGAUUUUGCUGAAUUUUUUUGUUUGUUUUUCCAGAGUGGCUUGGUUGAGUUUUGUUCUACAAUUAAAAACCAAAGAAGAGAUACGAGGAAGGAGAGAUUUUGGUUGAUGAUGACAGUGUUGAACAGUUGCGGCUUACAUAAUUAGUAUUAAGUGAUGAUAGUUCAGAUCCGUUCAUGACAAC